ACUGCUGCAGCAGUGGGGGACGACGAAGAAACAAACCUAAGAAGAAGUAAAAUGAUCACCAGAACAACUUUUUAUUGUGAGGUUCCGAACACCAUAUGCCGCCAUGCCGGUCCUAAUAUUUUAAGGUCCGUCUCACGCUGAACUAUCAGCCUCAUCCACUAAUCAAACUACAGAUGCUACAAUUACACGAAAAGAAUUGUGCUCCAGCAUUUCCCCUUUAUGGCUUAUGACACUUCCAAAUUAAGCUUCCAAUUUUGCACAUCAAAAGGAAUUUUUGAAAGAGACAUUCACCACAUCAACAUAAAGGAACACAAUUAUGGGCGUGGAAGAUCAUAUACUACUCUCAUUCCGUGUUGUUGUGUAUUUCCAGGAUUGACUUCGCUGCCAACAGCCAUCAUAGUCUUGCAUUCUUGAUAGUGCACAAUAAUAAGAGUCGUUCUACACAAUUGUUAAACUUGUAAAUUAGUCCAAGUUGCAACUAACGUGGUAAGGUAUUGUUCAUCCACGUUAUAAGUGAAACACAUCACUCAUUUACGUCCGUUAGAUCGUCAGCUACUAUUUUUAAAAACAUAAAAUUCAUUUGAUAUUCAUCUCUGUGACUCUGUCUCUCUCUAAAAAGCAACCUUUUUGUUCAUCUUCAUCGUCAUUUUCUUUGGAUUUAAUCAGAUCAAAAGUGAUUGAUAUAUCCAAUGAAGGGGUUGUUUCAUGUUCUUCUAUGAUUCUAUAGAGAAUAAAAUUUGGUUGUUAAACGAGAUGGAAAUGGAUAUCACUGGAUGUAUAUCAUCAUCAGAUCUAUUGAAGAAGAAGAUAUUCACAAUCAACAUAGUAAUCAAUAUUUUCACCAAAACUCAUUCUUAAUAAUCUGAUUUCUCCAGCAAAAAUUAUUUAAUUUCAAUUCUACCUCUCAGGUAGGUUCCCUUUCAGAUUUUGAUAGGAAGUAUUUGCUCAAUUAAGUUACGGAUUUAGAUGGAGUUUGAAUUUUGUUAGCUUUAGAGUAACUGUAAGUCGUCUUUCCGAGCUCUGUUUUUUUACAGGGUUUUUAUGACGACUCAGAUGGUCGGUAAAUUAGCUGACUCGGCCAGAUUCGUGAAUAUCGUUCGGGUUAAGUCGAUCCGGAUCCGAACCGUAUGCCGUCGUCUUCUCCACCCGUUUUACUGCUACUGCAGUUGUUCAGAGUCCGAAUCAUUUGUCCGAUCUAAUGAAUUUUUUUAGAGAAAACAUCAACAAGAUCAAAUCCAUAUAUUUGCAAAUUACAUACAUUUGUUAAUCUAUUCAGUAAUUUCUUCAACCGAGUUGAUCGACAAGAAGAAUGAGAAACUCUUUCUCCUCUAUUAUCAUCAUUAAUGGAGCACGCCUUCGCCUUCUUUUUUACUAAGUAUUGAUGUUGAUGUUCAAAUGUGUAAUUGGAGAUGAUUAAAUUUUAAUUAAUCAUAAUUGAAUAUGGA